ensembl:lncRNA
UAGUAUCAUGAUUUGCUCAGUCUUACAGUGAAAUCAAGGUUUUACCAGUAGAGUAAAACAGCUGCUGCUUCAUCUGUGUAUUUGCUGUGCUGAUAAACAAAGUGUGUCUGCAGGUCACAGUAGAGGGUUUUAUUGGUGGUUCUGUUGUUCUGCCGUGUUCUGCUGAACAUGAUCAUAAACUUCAAGACAUUGAUGUGAGCUGGAGACACAAUGGCAGCAAAAUUGUAUUUGAUAUAAUUCCACACAGUAAUGUGAUCUACAUAUUCAUAAAUCACUAUUGCAAUUAUAGUACACAGCUGUUUUUGCAGGAAACGUCAUUCUUCAAUGCAUGCCAUAUCUGAAAAGGAGAGAAGGUCUCAUAGUAGCUCGAAGGCUUAAAAAAUAACCUUAAACUGAUAUGAAUUUUCAAGCACAAAGGGAAAGCAACUAUAGUGAAGCAUUAAUCAUUGGCUUGGCUUUUCAGAAAUAUGUUUAGUUUGCAUAGCAUCACAUUUGCUGUGCAUUUAGGUUCUAAAAACAAUGUUUAUGUUGGAAACAUUGCCUAAAUAGCCUUAUAACAACAGCACCAUAUAACCUACUUACCUGGUCGUAUAACAUUUUUGUGAAUAUCCAUCUUUAUUUCAUUAUUUAUUUUAGUUUUAGGAGUGUUAGAUGUUUUGAUGUUGUUAGCAACAUUCACACUGAUAAGACAAUCGCCUGUAACCAUGGGCUCAGUUUGUUGGCCCAUUUCUGCCUUAUAAGAAAAAAGUUACAAUGUUAAAAAAUUAAAGCUACAAUGUUGCUUUAAUAGCUAUUUUUUAUAUUUUCCUUUUGUACCAUUUGUCAUUUCUUAUUCAUUUUAUGUCUCAAGCCCUUUUAGUUACUAGUGUGUAUGAAGUGUGUCCUAUUUAAAUAACCUUGCCUUGCCUCUUGGCUUUGUAAGUUAAAAAGUUACUUUUUUAGCUGAAUGUUUACAGCUUUUUGAUGUCUUGUACUGUUAUAUCCUUGCCUUAUGCACUGUGUUUUUAUUGUGUAACAGAAUGAGAUGUUGAAACAGGUACAUUUUUUGCCUGAAGUUAUAAGACUGAUAAGCCUGUCAAUUAUAUUAGUAAACAUUUAUAUUGAACGUUUUAUUUGUAAGAACUGUUAAGUAUAUUUUAAAUGUACUACAAUGUUCUCAGGUAUAUACAUUGAAAAUGAGGACCAUUGCGUUUCACAGUAUGUAGACAAGCUCUUUCUGUUCAAGACCCAAUAAAUCAUGUAAAUAAAAUAGAAUCUGGCA